CCCUUAGAUGUUCUGGGCCGCACGCGCGCUACACUGACGAAGUCAGCGAGCAUCUCCUUCGCCGAAAGGUGCGGGGAAUCUUGUGAAACUUUGUCGUGAUGGGGAUAGAUUAUUGCAAUUAUUAGUCUUGAACGAGGAAUUCCUAGUAAGCACAAGUCAUCAGCUUGUGUUGAUUACGUCCCUGCCCUUUGUACACACCGCCCGUCGCUCCUACCGAUUGAAUGUUCCGGUGAGCUCUUCGGACUGCGCGGUCUGCAGUUUCUGCGUUCCGUGCGGAAAGUUGCGCAAACCUUAACAUUUAGAGGAAGGAGAAGUCGUAACA
rnacentral:rRNA from 1 species